UCCAAAACCAUGUUGUUUUUAAAGUUUACC
rnacentral:piRNA from 1 species